rnacentral:lncRNA from 1 species
AUGGUCACUCUAAAGAAACCAAUCAGCAAGGGAUGUGCACUCAAAGGAAUGAUUCAAGAGCCGGGUUCCAGAGCCCUCCAUCUCAGGGAGGGCAGGAGUGGACUGACACUGUCAUAUGCUGCUCAGAUCAGAAUCAACAGACAACACCAAGAGGAAAGACCAUUGACACUGACUCGGAAGAGGCUUUCAGGAGGAGGAAGCACCCUCAGCCCAUCCUCAAGGGGAGGAACAGCACGGGCAAUAGCUUCUUGGCACGGUAACUUUGGGGAUGCUGAUUGGAAAAGUGAUGAAUAAAGCAGGGAAGCCAGGCAAAGCAGGUAAUGGAGGCUGGACAAGUAACCAGAAAAACACCCACUAAGGGAUCCAGUUGUUCUGUCUUGGGCAUUGAGGAGCCGUCUGUAGGAAAGACAUGGGACCAUCCAACAUGACUAUGAGCCCCAGUCACUGCAGACAAUGAAAGAAGGAUACAUACUAAAGGAAAGAGUAUGUUUUUGUCUUCAUAGGUGGUUUUUAACUGUACUUGGAAAAUGACUGGUCAAUCUCGUGCAGGAAAGUAUGAGUUCUUUGGGUGUCAUUAGAAAUGCCAUAUAAUGCCUAGUGAAUUAGUCCCCAGAGGCAUAAAUAUGGCUUCCCUUCCUGUGGUGACAACCCAAGGAAACCACCGUGAUGUUUAAUGGCAGAAGCUCUGAGUCACACACUGCCUGCAGCAGGAUCUUCACCCUCCUCACAAUAAAAGGUGCAGAAACAAAUGGCUCUUCUAUGUGGGCGGCAGCUAUGGGAGGCGGGAAAGGGAGAGGGAGAACUGGCUCCAAGAGUCAUUAAAAAUAAUAUUUUUUUCAAAUUAAUAAAAUGCAACCGUCCACACUCAAGACCAACAGCUUGUAAAAUUGGAUUUCUAAAAGAUGAAGGGGAAAGGAGGCCAGCACCGGUCAGGAGCAGCUAAACAGAGAAUUCAGGAAGGAGGGGCAUCACAGAUUCUGCCCAAGAAAUAUUAAUGGGUGUCUGUCACACUGACGCUAACAUGAUCACUCUGCUUGGGAGUGACAGUUGCUAAGUCCCACCACCUGGAAGGCCUAAGUGACAGGAGAGAAGCCAGGUCCCUGCUGCCCUCACUCCCCCAGGCCCUUAUAUUACAGGCCAAUGGGC